rnacentral:lncRNA from 1 species
UGGUGUAGAGAUACUGAGCGAUGAGUAUGGAUAGUUGUUAGAGAAUAACUAGUACUAAGCGUGACCAUACGAGAGAUCACUUGAAUUUUUACUCGAUUGUCAGUGAUUGUCUCGAUGGUGUAGUUGUGUGAAUGAUUCUUUAAUCUGUGAUGGUAUGAUUGCUCACAAUGAAACUAUUAGAGUUUAACUGACACAUAAACAUGGCCUCAUUGAGACUUUGUAGUGGAUGUUGGCGAUAAUUGGUUAACUAUAGGAGUAGGAUGUGUAUCUAGAUGGAAUUUAUCAAUCUUGAUAGAGAGAAGUAGUCCUAUGAGAUUUGAGAGGCUAAGUCUAAGAGUCUGUAGCCACAGUAGUGUGAUUGAUAGAAAAGAGUUUCUAUGAAGAUCAUAAUUGAAUUUGAGCUGAUCAAAUCUAUCAUAUAACUGAUGAUGAGGUUUGAUGAUUUAUCCAUGACCUGCCACCUAGUCGGAACUUAUGAUAGGGGACUGAAUCACAUGUUAAAUAUAUCUCGAGAUUCUUUUUUGAUUCUAUUAGGUUGCCACUACAUACUGCUAGGUGUCACUG